rnacentral:rRNA from 1 species
AGCGAACGCUGGCGGCAGGCCUAACACAUGCAAGUCGAACGAUCCUUCGGGAUAGUGGCGGACGGGUGAGUAACACGUGGGAACGUGCCCUUUGGUUCGGAACAACUCAGGGAAACUUGAGCUAAUACCGGAUGUGCCCUUCGGGGGAAAGAUUUAUCGCCAUUGGAGCGGCCCGCGUAGGAUUAGCUAGUUGGUGGGGUAAUGGCCCACCAAGGCUCCGAUCCUUAGCGGGUCUGAGAGGAUGAUCAGCCACACUGGGACUGAGACACGGCCCAGACUCCUACGGGAGGCAGCAGUGGGGAAUCUUGCGCAAUGGGCGAAAGCCUGACGCAGCCAUGCCGCGUGGAUGAUGAAGGUCUUAGGAUUGUAAAAUUCUUUCACCGGGGACGAUAAUGACGGUACCCGGAGAAGAAGCCCCGGCUAACUUCGUGCCAGCCGCCGCUGUAAUAC